rnacentral:tRNA from 1 species
AUUUAUAUAAUAUAAAAAGUAUAUUUGACUUCCAAUCAAAAAGUCUAAUUUUUUAGUAUAAAUA